AAUGAACGCUGGCGGCAUGCCUAACACAUGCAAGUCGAACGAGACCUUCGGGUCUAGUGGCGCACGGGUGCGUAACGCGUGGGAACCUGCCCUUAGGUUCGGAAUAACUCUCCGAAAGGGGUGCUAAUACCGGAUAAUGUCUUCUGCCCAAAGAUUUAUCGCCUUUGGAUGUGCCCGCGUUGGAUUAGCUAGUUGGUUGGGUAAAAGCCUACCAAGGCGACGAUUCAUAGCUGGUCUGAGAGGAUGAUCAGCCACACUGGGACUGAGACGCGGCCCAGACUCCUCCGGGAGGCAGCAGUGGGGAAUAUUGGACAGUGGGCGGAAGCCUGAUGGAGCACUGCCGCGUGAGUGAUGAAGGCCUUAGAGUUGUAAAGCUCUAUUACCCAGGAUGAUAAUGACGGUACCGGGAGAGUAAGCUCCGGCUAACUCCGUG
rnacentral:rRNA from 1 species